GUUCAACUUUCAAGGUCACUUGUCCUAUUGAGCUCAAGUUCCUAGGGGGCUGACGUCUAGUUAAUUUUAAUUCAGAGGCUUGGAUUAAUGAGGGAUGCUGGUUGAUUGUUUUUAGGCUAAAGGAGGGUGAUGAAAUCCCACCUUAUCUUGUUAAUGGGUGUUGUCCUUAAAUUAAUUUGAGAUGAAUAUGUACAAUCAAUUUCAAACAAGAAGUUCUAUACAACU
rnacentral:lncRNA from 1 species